rnacentral:lncRNA from 1 species
CUCAGUGCUUCCCUAGCAGAUGGGAGGCAACACUCAGGGCAGUCACGUACGCGCGUGCAUGGGUUGUGCACUGCUUAACUUCAGGGGGCACCCCCCAGACUGUGAUGUGAUGGUGGCUCCAUUCUCAUCGUCUCUACACACAUGCACAUGCACACGCACAUUUACAUGGCAUCGAGGGGGAUUUCACAUCCACAUCCUUACAUACCAUCUCCUCUGCCCUGCUCUGGGACGGCAGCCGUGGGGGAGGCUGUGACCGAGGUAUGGGCACCGUGACUGGAGGAGCAGGGUCAGAGCCAAAGGGCUGAGCGGCUUUUCUUCUGAAGCCCCUUUUCUGGGCUUCGUGUUCCCAGAAAUGGGAACCGUCAAAAUGACCGUCACCGUCACUAGGCUGCAGCCACUGGCCUCCUCCCGCCCAGGGCUUGGCUGUCGUUUCUGUGCUGGGGCUCGUAGUGUCCCCCAUCCAGGCUUUGGGGCCCUGCUGAACUGUGAUCUCACAGGUGGCCACUGCCCUGGGCCUUGGGAGGAGUCAUGGCCACACCCCCCAGAACAGAUGACAGUCCUACUCUUGCCCCAGCUCCUCCUCCAUCACUGUGCUCCUGGCACCCACAUUAGCUCUGACUCUGAGCGUGGGGACGGUGGCUGUCAGCUGUGGGCACAGGGGAUGUAAAGGGCCUGGAGUGUAUCCCUGGGGUCUGGUGCUGCCCGGCGGAAUGUCCCCUGGACAGCAGGUGUCCCCAGUCAACACACAGAUGAGGAAGAGUCGCGAGAGAAGGGACGGGCUGUCCAGUCCCGACCUUGGGCGUCACAGCGUGACUCCACCGACCCUCGAGCAAUGGAGGCUCAGAGGCUCCCACCCCCGCGCACUUGAGGACCUGGUUGACCGAUUGAUCUUAGGGACCGCGGGCGCUGCCGAGGCAAGGGAGGGAGGGUCCCAAGCGGACUCUGCACCAGGUGCGGAGCCCCACUCAAGGCUCCAUCUCCCCACCUGGGCCGAAACCAAGCAUCAGACGCCCAACGCGCGGUCCCCCUGGGAACCCCGAAGACUGGCGCGUGGCCCCGGACUCCCCCAGUCCUGCAGGGUGGCCUCCCUGUCCCUCAGGCGGCCCUCAGGGGACAGGGACAGGCUGAGGCGGGGCCGCACGCCACUCUCAGGGGACAGAAGCUGCGGCAGAGAGCUGUUAGGGAAAUCGUCAGGGAGACGCGGCCUGCAGGGGCGCCCCGAGGCGCAGCCCCGUGCUGUUGGGGCCGCGGCGUGAGGGGAUGUAGGGUCCUGGGGGAGGCAACCCAGGUAAGGUGAGGGCCCAGCUGCUGUAACCGGGGUCCUUACGAGAGGGACUGCGACAGCGACGAGCGCCCACGGGGACGACGGCACGAGGACCCCAGAGGAGGCCGCCCUGAGCGAGCCACGGGGAGAGGCCUUCGGAGAGACCAGCCGGGGGACCCCACCACCUCGGACUUCCAGCCUCCAAACCGUGGGGCGGCAAACGUGUGGGGGGCCGGCCCCUCGUCUGGCGCAGCGAUGCCGGGCCCAGGCGCUCGGCAGGAGGGGGCAUAGGCAUCACUGCAGGCCUCGCUCCCCACCCCCAGGGCCACUGGCCCUCGACGGCUGCCUCCCCCACGGCCCCCUCCCCCAGUUCCUGAAGCCUCGGCUCAUUUGCAGCACAUGGAGCACCCGGAAGGGAACCUGGUGGCCCUUUGGACCCCCAUGCCCCGGGGGGUCGGGACAGCAGCAGCCCCCCCAACCUGUCCAGAUGUGCGUGCGAGAACACAGCCGUGCACGCACACACGCUAAUAUGUCAUCUAUUAAAAUUCCAGUUUUACAAACUUGUUUUAAAAUUACCCAAAGGACAUGGAAACUAGCCCUGCUUUGAAGAUGUGAGCCUUCUGGAAGGGCUGCCUCCGCUGACAUCUGGUCUCCGGGCUCAGGCUCGGGGAGGCGCAGUAUAGGCAUCCCGUUGGGGGGGCUGCUCCGAGGCAUCUGCACCCACCUGCAUGCCCCCCGCCCUGCCGGCACCUGCUGCAGCCGUGGGUGCACUGAUGUGGGGCAGAGGGACGCAGAUGGGCCCGGGGCCGUGUCCUCCGGGGCCUGGAGGGGUCAGGGCUGGCAUGGGGGGCGGGGGGUGGCAACAACCAGUGUGUGUCUCCUCCCAGGCCGGGCCCCACCCCUGCGCACCCAGGAGCCCGGGGGUGGCCUUGGCAGAGAAGCACCUUUUCC